CAAAAUUUUGUUUUACAUGUGUAGAGUUUGGUGUCAUGUGAACAGCAGUGAGACAGACUGUUUGUAUUUCGAUUAUGUCAGGAACCGUUCAUCCACUCGACUUGAAACAUGGCGGGUGUGUUGCUGUGGACCCAAGGGAGUGCAGUGUCACAUUUGGUGCAAUAUGAACACGCAACAUGUUCAGAAUUAAUAAAUACACUAGAGAACAGCACUGAGCGGAGCUCUGCAGCAGCUACGGGGGAGGAACGCUCGCAGGGGCACAGAGGAGCUGCUUGCACUAUGCUGCUCAGCUCUUCAUCUGUGAGAGCGGGUACCAGGCUUAUUUGCUCCGAUGUGGUAGUGAACUGUUGACAUGAAGUUACCAUCAUCACGGAGACAACCAAUCAGAAGCCACUGGGGAAUUUAGAGCCACCAGCGUCACAGGCCACAGUGACACACACACCAUGUGCCAGACGUUUGACGAAAGUUUCAGACACUCUGCGCCACAUGAAUCAUUGAGCACAGCCACCACCCAGUGUGUGCCAAGACCUGCAAGUUCACCAUGUGCAAAAUGUGACAGAGGACAGUGGUUGACUAGCCACUUCCGGCUUGGACUAUUCCCAACGCAGUUUGAUCAAAAAGUUAUCAUCGCAUUACCUGCAAUGUCAAGCGACCGCGAUGGACACUGAAAAUAAAAUUACUGUCCCAGCUA